GGCGAUAUGGUCCAGUGGUUACGACGGUGGAUUUUGAUUACCGCGUUCCCCUAGGAACAUGCGUAAACGCCUUCCACAUACCUGGGUUCGAACCCCAGUAUUGCCU